AUGCACGCACAGAGCAGGACUUCAGAGACACCGGAGCUCCUCUUCCCAUUUAAACACGCUGCCCAGGCCCACCCACAAGGGAAAGCAAACGCUUGCCCCGCUCACGUGCUCACGUCCUCCUUCUCCCCGGUUUUCGCGGAAGGGCGGUCCUACCUGUGCCGUAGUGCUCCAAGCCGGUGGGCACUUCCUGGAUGGCGGCCUCAUCCCAGCCUGGGUAGCACGUCCUUUGCUGGUAGCAGGUGGAUUGAAACCCGCAGGUCAUCCAAGGAUCUUCAUAGGAGCCGGCAGCGCCUUGCUUCUGAGCACAAGGGGGAGAGGAAAACAUCAGCUCGGCAGGCAGGCGAGCGCAGAAGCAGCCACCCCAGCAGCGGCAGGUCUCCAAAGAAGCCCUUCUCACAGAAAAAUCACAAAAACGUGCGUUUUCGUCGCCAUUCAAAUGCAAAGCAACAACAAAAAGGAGCGACGGUUUGCAUUUUGGUUUCCAAAAGCCGAGCCAAGCAACACAGGGCGAAGGGAAAGGAAACCUCAGCCGAACGCGGGCGGCUCCGGGAACAGCAAGCUCAGCUCCGCGGACCCGAGGAAUCCGGAGCGGGCGGCAGAUCCCAGCCACGGCGCCGGCUCCGCUUCGCCCGCCGCUCGCCAGCUCGGAUCGCCGAGGGCGGCGGGGAGCCAGGAAGCCUCGUGCCGAGGCCGGGGGCACGGAGGCUCCCGGGGGACACGGGGCUCCGGCCGGACCGCCGCGCGCCAGCAGAGGGAGGAAGGAGCCCACGGCUUCCAGCAGCUCCCGCUCCCGCUCCCGCCUCGUGCGGGGCGAGGGCGAAGGUGCCGCCGCUUGGCCAGGCCUUGGCUGCGCCGAGCACCUUCCCGCUCCACCCGCGGCCCCCUGGAAGCUGCGAUUUGUUGCAACUGCUCCCUUUUCUCGUGAUACAGUUGCUUCCCGGGAGGAAACCUCCCCGGGGGAGGCUUGCGGGGCCGCUUCGGCCAGGCCGCUCUUUGGAAGGCCCCGGCGGCUCCGGGGGCUCCGCGGGGAGGCCGCCGCCACCACCAGGCCCUGGGGACGGAGGAGGCCCCUCGGAGGCCGAGGCCCCCUUUUGGCCAGCCCCGAGGCCUCCCCGCCACAGGGACCCUCCGCGGGGUGAGGCGGCUCCAGGUGAGCGGAAGGCCGCUUAUGUACGCGUUACUGCACGUGUGCUAGACAGAGUUAAAAAAUAUAAUUAUUAA
rnacentral:lncRNA from 1 species